rnacentral:rRNA from 1 species
GCGGCAGGCCUAAUACAUGCAAGUCGAACGGUAACAUUGGUGCUUGCACCAGAUGACGAGUGGCGCACGGGUGCGUAACGCGUAUGCAACCUACCUUUUACUAGAGUAUAGCCCAGAGAAAUUUGGAUUAAUCCUCUAUAAUAUCUUUUAAUCUCCUGAUUUUAAGAUUAAAGUUUUAACGGUAAAAGAUGGGCAUGCGUCCUAUUAGUUUGUAGGUGAGGUAACGGCUCACCUAGACUACGAUAGGUAGGGGCCCUGAGAGGGGGAUCCCCCACACUGGUACUGAGACACGGACCAGACUCCUACGGGAGGCAGCAGUAAGGAAUAUUGGACAAUGGACGAAAGUCUGAUCCAGCCAUGCCGCGUGCAGGAUGACAGCCCUACGGGUUGUAAACUGCUUUUAUACAGGAAGAAACACUCCGACGUGUCGGAGCUUGACGGUACUGUAAGAAUAAGGAUCGGCUAACUCCGUGCCAGCAGCCGCGGUAAUACGGAGGAUCCAAGCGUUAUCCGGAAUCAUUGGGUUUAAAGGGUCCGCAGGCUGUUUUUUAAGUCAGAGGUGAAAUCCUGCAGCUCAACUGUAGAACUGCCUUUGAUACUGGAAAACUUGAGUUAUUGUGAAGUGGUUAGAAUGUGUGGUGUAGCGGUGAAAUGCAUAGAUAUCACACAGAAUACCGAUUGCGAAGGCAGAUCACUAACAAUAUACUGACGCUCAUGGACGAAAGCGUGGGGAGCGAACAGGAUUAGAUACCCUGGUAGUCCACGCCGUAAACGAUGGAUACUAGCUGUUCGUCUAACAUUGGUUAGAUGAGUGGCUAAGCGAAAGUGAUAAGUA